UUUCUUUCUUCUUCUCUCUAUACGUUGGUGUUCUAACCCAUAAUCAUUCAAUCGCUAUUACGAUUUAUUUUCCGACCGAUCAAUAUAUCCAAUGGAUGUUUAAGUGCCGCCCAUAUUAGGGUGAUACUUUGUCGUUCGUCGUUAAUUCGAUGAAUGAGUUUAAGUAUCGCACUUUAUCGUUCGUUGUGAGAAUUUGAUCUCGUGAGUUAUCGUAAAAGCUGUAUUGAUCAUUAACCCGGUUUUUGUGAAACUCGUUAAGGUUCGAAUCUCAUGACUACCGUUAAGGUUUGAUUUGGGUUUUACACCAAUACGUAUUCCAUUCUGUUAAACUAUAUAUUUAAUUACCAAGAAUACUCCCAACUACACCCUUACAAUCAAACAAACUAUUAAAUCAUCAGAAGAUCCAGAAUAAUAAAGUGCAUGCUUAAUUAUCGGAAGAAAUAGAAUCAAGAAGUUUGUUAACUCAAUCAUGCAUGCUGAUUUGUAAUUACAGUAUAUUGGAGUAAAGAUUGGAUCCAGCACUAAAAGACUUCAAGAAGUGGCUUAUUUUAUUAAUUAAAUCAAAUUAAGAAAUAUUGUUUUUAUUAAAAGCUACCUUUGUAAAACUUGGAAUUUAUUCCAUCCAUUUAAAUAAAAUCCGGUGU
rnacentral:lncRNA from 1 species